AUAUUAUAGGUUUCAUGGCCACACGGUUAGAUAUGUACUGAAUGCUGUUUACUAUAUUAUAGGUUUCAUGGCCACACGGAUAUAACGUCCUGAAUGCAGCUAUCUGUAGACCUGAUCUACUGAAUAAUUAAUGUCACUAUACUUACAAAACUUAUACCGUUAAAAUGGACAUUUACAGUGAACACCUUUAAAAUGCUUCUCAAUGCAUAAUGUAUGAUAGCUAUAUCGGUAAUGGUGUGAUCUGACUGUUGAAGCCUUGAUAUGAUGUAAAUUGUGAUCACUAGUCGUUACCUGUUCCAUUACUGACAACUUAUACCGACAAUAUGAGUACAUUUUUAUGUACCUACCUACUGUCUGCCCUGCUGCAGGAAACGGUCAGUUUGUAUCGACCCAGUGACCAGUCCACUCGAGCCACUGAACUGGACACCAUUAUUGAUAUUUCCACUUAAGUUCACAAAUGGUCUACAAAAACAUAUUUCUGGUAAAAACACAAGGUUGUCCUCCUGAUUAUCAGUGACUCAGUCACAAUUAGAAUUUCAAACAUGUUGUGUGUUUUGAAGUUAAUCACUUUAAAUAGCCGUGGCACAAGUCUGAAGAUUCCGAUAAAGUCCAAAACAAUUGAAUGUCUUCAAUACUAAUCACGUGCACGUGUUGUAUGGGAAAGCAUUUCCAAGACAGACAGGUCACCCUCGUCUGAAUUAUCUAAUUAUAUUGCUGAACUUGCUGACUAGGAAGAUUCUUGACAUUGACAGGAUGUGCGGAAGCCUGCCCACAGACACUUGUGGUGAUUGGAGACCUUCUAGGCGGUUCCUGUGAUGAUGUUUGGUCCGUUAUAUAUGGUUAUAUCCUCUAUAUAGCCUGAUCAUCAAUUCUGCUUUUGUCUGGUCAUCACAUACAGCGACUUGCGUGAAAUACUAAAUAUAUGUAAAUGUUUCAGCAGAUAUACAAACAUCUACAUUACGUAACAUCUCAGGAUUAUACACAAUCCACACAAGAAAGAAACUAUUUCUCCAAAUUGAUUUUGGCUUUGCAUCAAAAAGUAAUAACUAAAAGGAAUUUUCAAAAAUUGAUUUUGAAUUCUUGAUGUCUGUGUGUGGUAGAUGUUCUUGAUGUCUGGUUUUCAGGCAAUCUGUACAAGUAUGUUCAACAUAUACAGCUAUAUAUAGAGCCUGGAAGUAAUACAGACUGGUGGCACAUAUAUCAUUACAAAUAAACUUAUCAUUAAGUUGUCAGCAUUUCCACUUUUAAUUUCACAUAAAUUUGAUGACACUGCAAAUGACUCACCGAUUACACAGGGUAAUAACACUGACAAAUUCAUCUGUGGUUAACAUCAGCUACCAAAGUAGUGGAAACAAAUAAGAUGUGAAAAAAUUAGUUUAAAAAUUCUUCACAGUAGCCUUGACUUGUGACGUCAUUACAGUAUGAAUCCCUCCAAUAUGAUACAGCCUCCUUCGUAUAUGAUACAGCCUCCUUCGUAUCUGUAUGACUGGUAAUGUAAUCUAUCAGUAUCCAGAAAUUAAAGGUUCCAAACCAAAACUGUCUUGUCCAGUAAAAUCAAAUUAAAGAACAAAAGUUCAAUUCCGUUUUCAACGGUCACAUGAUUUGGACAAAAUUGGAUGAACCACCUUUAUAGCAUCAGUUUCCUUGCCAGAUGAAAUGUUUACUGUAGAGAUCAGAAUUAAAAACGUACACCCCAAGUCUGCACGUUUUUCAAGCUUCUCCAAUG